GUUAGAAACCCCCAAAACUGCAGGAUUCGUACAAAGCAGAGCACUGAUUCACUAGACCUUGCAAGAAUAUGCAGGAAAAACAAAAAACCAAAAGGUAACCUGAACUUCCAAAAGAAGGUUUUGACUACAAUUUUAAUUCUUUUAAUUCUAUACCCUUCUAGUAUUAAAAUGAGUAAAAAAUAAUGCCUGACUGAUGUAACAUCAAUAAAAUUGCUUUUUUUUUUGUGAUAGGUAGAAGACAGCCCACCUGAUGAACUUUCAUAAGGUGCAUUUGUUACAGAGUGAGGUUUUCCUAAUGUCCUGUGUGCACUUUAUGAUCUCAAGCCAGACUGCUGUGUAUAAACACAGGAUAACAAUUGGAACUCUGUUCUCCAGGUGUCCUUGCUGAGAAGGGGACUGUAAGUCACAUCUGUCUGAUGAGAGUUUACAUCUGUGAAACACAAAUAGUACUUUAACAGAGAAGUUUAAUGACUGUGACUGCUUGCUACGACUGCUACUUGCUAACUCUCUAAAGAUGAAACUGGUAAAAUUUUGAAAUUAAGGAAUCUUACCUUUAAAAUAACUUUAUUGCAUGACUGGGAGGAGUAAGAGGAAUGGUUUUCCUGUGAUCAGUAUUUUAUCUGUAGAUGCUGCAGCAGCAGCCUGACUUGUCUUUGCCGAGGCCACCCUUUCCCCAGCAGCCACGAAGACACCUGCGCUGUGGGAUGAGGUAGUAGGUUGUAUAGUUUUAGGGUCAUACCCACAACUGGGAGAUAACUAUACAAUCUACUGUCUUUCCUAAAGCAGCAGAAAAUCAUCAAUGGAAACGUCUCGCUGUUAAGCUCAACGUCAGAUUCUACUGAACUUUUGUACUUGUAAUGCUUACGGGGAAAAUAAUUUGUCUUGAUCUAUAUAUUGUGUUUAGAUUUUUCUAAUUCUUGGGAAAGCUAGAUUCUACAUUCAUUCUACAUUCAUUUUUCUCCUUUAACAAGUGAAAAAUUAAGAACAGACUGAUUCCUGUAUGUGUAUGGUGGGGUAAUCAAGUACAAAAGAUUGCUCUAAUUGUUGUGGUGUUUAACGUUGCUACCCUAAGUAUCGAAUACUCUUUAGAAUAAAACUCUGGUCAGCUCCUUAAGCUCUUUGCUG
rnacentral:lncRNA from 1 species